CGGAUCGGAGUCUGCAACCCGACUCCGUGAAGCUGGAUUCGCUAGUAAUCGCGCAUCAGCCAUGGCGCGGUGAAUACGUUCCCGGGCCUUGUACACACCGCCCGUCAAGCCAUGGGAGCCGGGGGGUGCUUGAAGUGCGUCGCCGCAAGGCGCGCCCUAGAGCAAAAACCGGUGACUGGGGCUAAGUCGUAACAAGGUAAC
rnacentral:rRNA from 1 species